AUUGAACGCUGGCGGCGGGCCUAACACAUGCAAGUCGAGCGGAUGAAGGGAGCUUGCUCCUGGAUUCAGCGGCGGACGGGUGAGUAAUGCCUAGGAAUCUGCCUGGUAGUGGGGGAUAACGUCCGGAAACGGGCGCUAAUACCGCAUACGUCCUGAGGGAGAAAGUGGGGGAUCUUCGGACCUCACGCUAUCAGAUGAGCCUAGGUCGGAUUAGCUAGUUGGUGGGGUAAAGGCCUACCAAGGCGACGAUCCGUAACUGGUCUGAGAGGAUGAUCAGUCACACUGGAACUGAGACACGGUCCAGACCCCUACGGGAGGCAGCAGUGGGGAAUAUUGGACAAUGGGCGAAAGCCUGAUCCAGCCAUGCCGCGUGUGUGAAGAAGGUCUUCGGAUUGUAAAGCACUUUAAGUUGGGAGGAAGGGCAGUAAGUUAAUACCUUGCUGUUUUGACGUUACCAACAGAAUAAGCACCGGCUAACUUCGUG
rnacentral:rRNA from 1 species